rnacentral:rRNA from 1 species
UACAGAGGUCCCGAGCGUUGUUCGGAUUUAUUGGGCGUAAAGGGUGCGUAGGCGGCGGAGUAAGUUGGGGUGUGAAAUCCCGGGGCUUUAACCUCGGAAUUGCAUUCAAUACUGCUUCGCUUGAGUACUGGAGAGGAGGCUGGAAUUUACGGGUGUAGCAGUGAAAUGCGUAGAUAUCGUAAGGAAGGCCGGUGGCGAAAGCGAGCCUCUGGACAGUUACUGACGCUGAUGCACGAAGGCCAGGGGAGCAAACGGG